GUUACUUAAUAUACACAUGCAAGUCUCCGCACCCCUGUGAGAACGCCCUUUUAAACCCCCUAGGAACAAGGAGCUGAUAUCAGGCACAACCCUUAGCCCAUGACAUCUAGCUAUGCCACACCCACAAGGGAAUUCAGCAGUGAUUAACAUUGAAAAUCAGCGCCAGCUUGAUUCAGUUAAAGUAAAAAGAGCCGGCAAAUCUGGUGCCAGCCGCCGCGGUUACACCACGUGGCUCAAAUUGACCUCAUUCGGCGUAAAGCGUGCUUAAAGUAUAUACUAAUUGUGAUUAAAUUUAAACUAAGCUGUGACACGCUUGUUUACAAGAGACUCAAAAACGAAAGUUAUCACAAUUUAAACAACUUGAAUACACGACAGCUAGGUUACAAACUGGGAUUAGAUACCCCACUAUGCCUAGCCGUAAACCUUAAAUUACAUAUAAAUCGCCCGGGAACUACGAGCCAAGCUUAAAACCCAAAGGACUUGACGGUACCCCACAUCCCCCUAGAGGAGCCUGUCCUAUAAUCGAUACCCCCCGUUUAACCUCACCAUUUUUAGCCUAUUCCACCUGUAUACCUCCGUCGUCAGCUUACCACGUGAGCGUUCUUAGUGAGCCCAAUGUCCCCUCGUCAAUACGUCAGGUCAAGGUGCAGUAUAUAAAAUGGGGAAGAGAUGGGCUACACUCUCUACUAUUAGAGAAAACGAAAGACUUUAUGAAACCUAGUCAGAAGGCGGAUUUAGUAGUAAAAAAGGACGAGAGAGCCUUUUUUAACUCGGCACUGGGGUGUGUACACACCGCCCGUCACCCUCUUCAAAGCCAUUUUUUAGUAUUUAACUUGUAUAAGCAUAAUAGAAGAGGCAAGUCNNNNNNNNNNNNNNNNNNCGGAAGGUGUGCUUGGAAA
rnacentral:ncRNA from 1 species